AGUGAACGCUGGCGGCGUGCCUAACACAUGCAAGUCGAACGGGACUUAGGGGGCUUGCUCCUAAGUUUAGUGGCGCACGGGUGAGUAACACGUAGCUAAUCUGCCCUAUGCUGGGGGACAACAGUUGGAAACGACUGCUAAUACCCCAUACUCCGGUAUUACAUAAGUGAUAUCGGGAAAGUUUUUCGGCAUAGGAUGAGGCUGCGGUCUAUCAGCUAGUUGGUGAGGUAACGGCUCACCAAGGCUAUGACGGAUAGCUGGUCUGAGAGGAUGAUCAGCCACACUGGAACUGAGACACGGUCCAGACUCCUACGGGAGGCAGCAGUGGGGAAUUUUACACAAUGGGCGCAAGCCUGAUGUAGCAACGCCGCGUGGAGGAUGAAGGAUUUAGGUCUGUAAACUCCUUUAUAAGGGAAGAAAUUUGACGGUACCUUAUGAAUAAGCACCGGCUAACUCCGUG
rnacentral:rRNA from 1 species